CCAAUAGCGUAUAUUAAAGUUGUUGCAGUUAAAAAGCUCGUAGUUGAAUUUCGGGACUAACAGAUUGGUCGCGCCUUUGGUGUGUACUGGUCUAGUUGGUUUCUCCCUUCUGACGAACCACGAUGUCAUUAAUUUGGUGUCGUGGGAAAUCAGGACUGUUACUUUGAAAAAAUUAGAGUGUUUAAAGCAAGCGUUAGCUUGAAUACAUUAGCAUGGAAUA
rnacentral:rRNA from 1 species